rnacentral:rRNA from 1 species
CCUACGGGUGGCAGCAGUGAGGAAUAUUGGUCAAUGGACGGAAGUCUGAACCAGCCAUGCCGCGUGCAGGAAGACGGCUCUAUGAGUUGUAAACUGCUUUUGUACAAGGGUAAACCUGAAUACGUGUAUUCAGCUGAAUGUACUGUACGAAUAAGGAUCGGCUAACUCCGUGCCAGCAGCCGCGGUAAUACGGAGGGUCCAAUCGUUAACCGGAUUUAUUGGGUGUAAAGGGUGCGUAGGCGGUAUGUUAAGUUAAAGGUGAAAUGUCCGAGCUUAACUCGGGAACUGCCUUUGAUACUGGUGAACUGGAGAGUGUGAGCGGAAGGUGGAAUGUAUGGUGUAGCAGUGAAAUGCGUAGAGAUC